rnacentral:rRNA from 1 species
UACCAGCACCCCGAGUGGUCGGGGCGUUUAUUGGGCCUAAAGCAUCCGUAGCCGGUUCUACAAGUCUUCCGUUAAAUCCAACUGCUUAACAGGUGGGCUGCGGAAGAUACUAUAGAGCUAGGAGGCGGGAGAGGCAAGCGGUACUCGAUGGGUAGGGGUAAAAUCCGUUGAUCCAUUGAAGACCACCAGUGGCGAAGGCGGCUUGCCAGAACGCGCUCGACGGUGAGGGAGGAAAGCUGGGGGAGCAAACCGG